UGGGGAAUAUUGGACAAUGGGCGCAAGCCUGAUCCAGCCAUGCCGCGUGGAUGAUGAAGGCCCUAGGGUUGUAAAGUCCUUUCGGCGGGGAAGAUAAUGACGGUACCCGCAGAAGAAGCCCCGGCUAACUUCGUGCCAGCAGCCGCGGUAAUACGAAGGGGGCUAGCGUUGCUCGGAAUCACUGGGCGUAAAGCGCACGUAGGCGGAUUCUUAAGUCGGUGGUGAAAUCCUGGAGCUCAACUCCAGAACUGCCUCCGAUACUGAGAGUCUUCGAGUCCGGGAGAGGUGAGUGGAACUGCGAGUGUAGAGGUGAAAUUCGUAGAUAUUCGCAAGAACACCAGUGGCGAAGGCGGCUCACUGGCCCGGUACUGACGCUGAGGUGCGAAAGCGUGGGGAGCAAACAGGAUUAGAUACCCCGGUAGUCCCUGAGCGGGCUGGCAAGGCGCAU
rnacentral:rRNA from 1 species